rnacentral:rRNA from 1 species
GUUGCCAGCAUGAAAGAUGGGGCACUCUGGCGAGACUGCCGUUGACAAAACGGAGGAAGGUGGGGACGACGUCAAAUCAUCAUGCCCCCUUAUGUCCUGGGCUACACACGUACUACAAUGGCAACAACAGAGGGCAGCCAAACCGCGAGGUUGAGCGAAUCCCAAAAUGUUGUCUCAGUUCAGAUUGCAGGCUGAAACUCGCCUGCAUGAAGUCGGAAUUGCUAGUAAUGGCAGGUCAGCAUACUGCCGUGAAUACGUUCCCGGGCCUU